rnacentral:rRNA from 1 species
ACGCUCGACACCUACGGGAGGCAGCAGUGGGGAAUAUUGCACAAUGGGGGAAACCCUGAUGCAGCGACGCCGCGUGAGUGAAGAAGUAUUUCGGUAUGUAAAGCUCUAUCAGCAGGGAAGAAGAUGACGGUACCUGAGUAAGAAGCCCCGGNUAACUACGUGCAAGCACGCCGCGGUUAANCUGAGCGGGCUGGCAAGGC